rnacentral:ncRNA from 1 species
AGAUAGAGGCGCGGCUACAUUAGUAAGCGUGGUAAGGGAUCCGGUUCCCGCUGAAGCCACACCGAAAGGGAACGCCGCCGAAGGGUUUCUUUUUCCGGAGGGAGAAGCCCUGGUCGUCUGGUUAAGAGCCUUACGACUGUCAUCAGGACGAGCUGAUGGAGCGCUGUCUG